CGGGUUUGAAUACCCAUUUUAUAUUUUGGAGCAUUACAAAUGGCAUUAACCGUAGAACAAAAAGCACAAAUCGUUAAAGAUUUCCAACGCAAAGA
rnacentral:ncRNA from 1 species